UACGGAGGGAGCUAGCGUUGUUCGGAAUUACUGGGCGUAAAGCGCACGUAGGCGGCUUUGUAAGUUAGAGGUGAAAGCCCGGAGCUCAACUCCGGAACUGCCUUUAAAACUGCAUCGCUUGAAUCCAGGAGAGGUGAGUGGAAUUCCGAGUGUAGAGGUGAAAUUCGUAGAUAUUCGGAAGAAACACCAGUGGCGAAGGCGGCUCACUGG
rnacentral:rRNA from 1 species